rnacentral:lncRNA from 1 species
GGCCGAGCGGGGGCAAAGUUUGGGGCGGGCCGAACCGGGGCCGAACCGGGGCCGAACCGGCCGCAAAGUCCCCGGGACCCCGGGCGGAGCCGCGUCCCAGCGGAAUCAGAGACAGAACUGAGAUAAAGGGACUACAUAAGAGGAAGCAAUGAAUCCUUGUUGAAGCAUCAGACUGCAGUAGAGCCUCAAAGUAGCCAGCGACAGAAUGGAUCUGAACGUAUUUCUAAUUGAGAUUCCUUCUUUGAAUG